rnacentral:rRNA from 1 species
UACGGAGGGAGCUAGCGUUAUUCGGAAUUACUGGGCGUAAAGCGUACGUAGGCGGCUUGCAGUUAGAGGUGAAAGCCUGGAGCUCAACUCCAGAACUGCCUUUAAAACUGCAUCGCUUGAAUCCAGGAGAGGUGAGUGGAAUUCCGAGUGUAGAGGUGAAAUUCGUAGAUAUUGGAAGAACACCAAGUGGCGAAGGCGGCUCACUGGACUGGUAUUGACGCUGAGGUACGGAAAGCGUGGGGAGCAAACAGGA